rnacentral:lncRNA from 1 species
AUAAGGAUUAAAUCCAUGCGCCACCUCUUGGAAGCGCCCCUUUGAAAUUUCAAAUGGGGAGAUAAGUUUUAAAUUAUCCACGCCCCUUAAUCUCUUGCGCCAUUCUUCAAGUUGGCACCAUCUAUCUUGGCCAUUGGAUGGGCUUCCUUCCAGAUCCAAAGGCAUGGGUUGAUGGUGCCAAUAAGAGAAGCUUUGUGACUUCUCAUCUGAACACCGUAAGUUAAGAUCGAAGAAUCUUUCUGAAAUAAGGCAUCUCUUCAACCCAACUUUGAUGUACACAUGGCAUUUCUUAAUUUAUGGGGCAUGAGAAAUAGACAAGAGG